ACCUAUAACCUGUUAUUAUUUAUAAUUUGUUCUUUUGUGGUAAUGCUGUGUUAUACAUUAGAAUGUUACAACAUACAUUACAAAAAGGAGAUAGAAAUGAAGAUAUAAAUUGGUGUGCAUUGAAUAAAAAAUAGGUUAAAAUAUGUAUAGGAAUUUUUAUUAAGAUAAAGAUGAAAUUAAUAAAAGACAGAUGAAAUAAAGAAAAUGAGCAGAAUGAAUAAAAUAUAAAUAUCAAUAUUAUAAAUAUCAAAAAAACUCUUUUUAAGCUUUUUUACUAUGACAUGUUUACUAUCAACUCCUCACAAAAAGGAGUUUCUAAUUAGAACAGAGUUAAUACUACCUGUGAAAAUUGGUAUACUUUAUCUAUUUUAGAGCAGAGAAAUUCUACCAAGGUCAAUUAAGAUAAUUUCCCCUUCUUAAGCUCUAACAUUGUUAUUUGUGUCAUUUGUACUGUAGUUCCCAGUAAUUAAAACAGCAGGUUACAGAUGGGUUAUUUCAGCAUGGGCACACUUGUCUUCUUGCCCUCCAGUGAGAUGGACAUUGUCUAACGUAGGCGCUGCCCAUUGUCCCCAGGCAAGACUCCCUCCAAUUGUCCUUGGACAAGAAAAUUAGCCUAAAUAGAUCUCUCUUAUUUGUCUCAUAUGUCUUUCAAAUAAACUAUAUUAGUAACUGCCAGCUGAGUUGCUCCAAACAGGAAAAACAAUUCAGUAAUCUUAGGCUUUUGAUGUCAACCUGACAUAAAGUUAAAAAGAAAAAGAUUCUGUUAUUUAAGAAAAGAGUUUCUUUGAAAUGCAUAUUUGCCUGUAAACUUUUAUUUUUAGGUUGACGAAGAAAUCACAUUCCACUGAAAAUUCUCUAGUUACUGUACUCCAUAGCAAUAUCUACCUAAAGAAUGGUAGUUAGGAAAAAUGUAGGGAAGAAAGAGGAAAGACGAGAAAGUUUCAACACAAGGUGCACUGUUUUUGGAAUGGGAAGGCAGGGUAUUACUUAUUUACUUAAGGUUGUGCAAAAUUUGCAGAAAGAUCUUAAUACUUAUUAUAUAUGUCCCUUAGAUAAGCCAAUGUUUUGCUCCUUUCCAUAAGCAGGAAACCAUUUCCUUCCUUUUCCCCCUAUGUCAGUGAGUAGAAAGUCCAAUAGGACUUUCUAAUGCAUGAUGGAAAAUUCUGUUUUAAGGCUGCACCCAGGGCAUAUGGAAGUUCCCAGGCUAGGGGUCUAAUCAGAGCUGCAGCUGCCAGCCUACACCAGAGCCACAGCAAUGCGGGAUCCCAGCUGCGUCUGUGACCUACACCACAGCUCAUGGCAAUGCAGGAUUCUUAACCCACUGAGUGAGGUCAGAGAUCAAACCCACAUUCUCAUGGAUACUAGUCGGUUUGUUAUCUGCUAAGUCACAACUGGAGCUCCCUAGCUGCCUUGGUUUUAGAUGUAAAUUUCUUUCGUAACUGAUGGUCCUUCACGUAGCUUCUACUCUCCUGUUGACCUGUACUGCUUUGCCACUUCCCCCCCUCACCAUCUGUCAAAAUCCUCCCCAUCCUUUCAGACCGUCUUCAAGCCCCAUCACAUUAAUGAAGACUGUUUUGAUCACACAGCCUUACAGGCUCUCUCCUUCCUCUGCUGUCCUAGCAUUUAUUACCAACUCCACUCAUAGGCUUUCUCUCAGACUGUCUUGUAUUUCCCUUACCUUUAGUAAAUGUCUUAUUUGUCCUAUUGAAUGAUGAGCUUUUAGGCCAGUGACUGGGUUUAAUGCUUUCAUGCCUUUCCUUAUGGUACCUUGAAUAUACCGGUUACUUAAAAAUGACUGAAAAGACAGUCUCAUACAAGAUAUAGUAUCUUGGAUAGUCACCUUUUAAUAUUAAGAUCGCAAUACAUGUUUCUGUUCAACAAUAAUUCCAAUUAAAAAAGAAAUCAUUUGCACAUAUGGAACUAGAGGAAUAAUCUUUUCCAAAUCAUGAUUGAGUGUACAUGAAUUAAAUACUCUAAAGAAGAUAGUUUUAUGCAAUGUCAAACCUAAGAGCAAUUCUGUAUUUGUCUAUGAUUUUUAUGGAAACAUGCUGAGGCUUAUUAGGCUGAAACCCCUGUAUUUAAUUUUUCAAAAUAUAUAGGAAUAUAUUUCUCCUUUGAAACCCAGUUGUGAGAAAACUCCUGUUUGCAUCUAGAAAAGAUGGAGAAAUAUCCAGGUCAAUAUACAUGUGUCUCACAGUCAGAGGAUGAAAAUCAAUGUAGUAAUAAGUACCCGGAUGUUGUAUGAUAAUGUUUUGAGUUUUAAAAAAGGGAAAGUAGUAGAACAUUUAGCUCUAAAUUUAUCAAUGUUUUUAAAUUUCAGUUUCUUCAGUUAUUUUUUUAAGAACUCAAAUUAGGCCUCAUCUACAGUGUUAUUAAUUUAGAGUGAAGCCUAAUACAGCAUUUUGGAAAGCACAUUAUGCAGGCAUCAUUAUGAAAUAAAAGCAAUUAGUAUAGUGGAGAGUCCACGCCUCUGCUGGGUAUUUAGAUAACUAACUCCAUGCCUAUCAAGCAACUGCGGCCCAGGAAGCAGGUAUAGUGUUUGCCCAAGGCCAUGCAACUGAGAAACCAUGGAGCUGGGCUAAAAAGGUAGGUGCAUCUGAUUUCCAAGCAAUGCCUUUUCUGUCUUGUGUUACCUUUUACAAGAAUGAGUUAUCAGCAUUUAGAAAUCUUGCUUGAGGAGUUCCCAUUGUGGUGCAGUAGAAAUCAAUCCAACUGGUAUCCAUAAGGAUGAGGGUUCGAUCCCUGGCCUCACCCAGUGGGUCAAGGAUCCUGCACUGCCACGGGCUGUGGUGUAGGUCACAGUUGCGGCUGGGAUCUGGCAUCACUGUGCGUGUGGCGUAGGCUGGCAGCUGUAGCUCCGAUUCAACCCCUAGCCUGGGAACAUCCAUAUGCUGCAGGAGUAGCCCUAAAAAGCCAAAAAAAGAAAGAAAAAUAAAUCUUCCUUAAAAAUCUGCCCUAAACAGACCUUUAGAGGAGAUAAAUUUAUAACUGGACUGUGUAUUCUCCACAUAUUCAUAAGUAGACAAAAAGGAAAUUUGUAAAUACACUUCAAAUUACCUUCAAAAAACUUUCUAGACUAUUACAUUUAGAAUGGAAAAGCAAUGAGGUCCUACUGUGUAGCACAGGGAACUAUAUCCAAUCUCCCGGGGUAGACCAUGAUGGGAGAAAAUAUAAGAAACACAUACAUAUAUAUGUAUGUAUGUAUGAUUGGGCCACUUUGCUGUACAGCAGAAAUUAGAACAACAUUGUAAUUCAACCAUAAUAAAAAAUUUAAAAAAUCUUUCUACAUGCAGCCUUUGGAAAAAGCAGGGUCUACCAUUUAACAAAAAUCAUUAACCUUUGAAAAGAGUAUGGCAUUUCUAAAUCAUAUUCAGUGUGUUCUCCAUCUGACCUCUGAAUCCUUGCCUGUUGUAUUUUCGCUUAACUUGCUUUUAUCCUUUUUAGAAAGAACAAUUUCCUUCUAAUGGAUUUUCUUGUAGGGUUGAAACUCAGUUCAAUAGGAAUCAGACUCUCAGAACUGCAAGAGACCUUAAGGCAAAAUUGAACCUCAACCAUCAUUUUACUGAGGAGUAGAAAGCUGACAGUCAGUGAAGUGAAAUGAUUUAUCUAGUCUACUCUCAAGUCAGUGCAAAUCUCUGACACUCUGCAUCUUAAUGAGACACUCAAGAGAUCAAGCAAUCAUGAAGUGGAUUGACACUUCAUUUUUUGGUAUUUGUUGACCAGAUUGACUUAGAGCCAUCAUUACUAAUUCAUUGUUUGAAAUGCUAUUUUUAAUAUAAACGCCAUGGAAAAUUGAAAGAUGGCAUAUCAUAUAGGAGAGUAGAUAUUAUUAUACUUCAAUAUCAGCUUUAGGCUGCCUUUGAGCCUCACCUUUCAUCCACUUUCCCCUGGUUUAUUGUAAAAUUUAUCAUACACUUCAUGCCUCUACAGUUUAGCCCCUUGUGCUGCUGUAUCUGGAAAUCCCUUCUAUGUGUUGACUAUCUAGAAAAAUUCCACUUAUUCUCCCUUUGCACAUCAGUCUUACCCAUACCUUCCCUUGACCUUGGCAGAAUUAAUUUUCCACUUGUCUGUGCUAUCAUAUUAAUUUUUGCCUUUAUUAUAGUGUUUAUACUUUUUUAAUUACUAUUAUUUCUUCACUUAUCAUUCCUGCUCCAGGGCUGGAUUUUGUUCUAAUCACCUAAAGAUCCCACAUGACAACAUAAUGCUAUAUGCAUAGUGGGGGCUGCAAAUGCAUUCCUCUUGAAUGAAUUACUUGUGCAGCAUGGUCUUUCAAAGACAAUGCCCUGAAAGAAAAAAUAAAGUCUGAAAAUUAGGGUUAUAAGUGGGAUCACAUGAUCUGAUAAUAUCACAAAAUUUGCUGUCAUUCUUACAAGGUGAAUUUUGCCUAGUCACAAGAUUUGAAACUAAUGCUUUAUUUUCUGUGGUCUGUGUUUUAGGUUCUUUUUUUGGUAAUAGAGAUUUAGUAGUAUCCCCAGUUUCUUGCCUGGUUGUCAUUUUGCUAAUGACAUUAAUUUAGCCGUCUGUUGACUCAAAAAUAAGCUUCUGAUUGCUCCUAAUUUGAUAUAAGAAAUUAAGUCGAUGGUAAGCUUAAGUUAUAGGCCUUUACAUCAUUUCAAUUUUGGUAGAUCUGAGGUUUAAUAUAGUACCACACACAUACAUAACUCAGAUCUACUAUGAAUAAAUCAUAACUGCUCAUAUUUGUCGAAUAAAUUCACAUACAAAUGAUGUUCUGAAAACUAAACUUCAGCUGUAGGAUAUUAAUUUGAUAGAUUAUAUUUGUUUAUCAGUGCAAUUGCAAUCAUCAAUAUACCCUCCCAAUCUUAAGCAUGACUGAGAUGACACUGGUAUCUUCUUGUCCAUAUUUAGAGUUACAUAAUGCACAGCUGUUGGUGAUUAAUCACAGUUUGUAAUGGCUAGUGAGUAUAUUCUGUACUCAGAAUAGCAAAAAUGCAAUUUUUUUUGUGUGUGUGUGAUCCGAAUAAAGACAUUUUAAACAAAU
rnacentral:lncRNA from 1 species